AUACAGGGGGUGCGAGCGUUAAUCGGAAUUACUGGGCGUAAAGAGUACGUAGGCGGUUGCUUAAGUCAGAUGUGAAAGCCCCGGGCUCAACCUGGGAACUGCAUUUGAAACUGAGUGACUAGGGUUUAAGAGAGGGGAGUAGAAUUCCGGGUGUAGCGGUGAAAUGCGUAGAGAUCCGGAGGCAUACCAGUGGCGAAGGCGGCUACCUGGCUUAAAACUGACGCUGAGGUACGAAAGCGUGGGUAGCAAACAGGAUUAGAUACCCGAGUAGUCC
rnacentral:rRNA from 1 species